UGUCUGCAGCAGCUGCCGUCAUCUAUGCCUAUGCCUGGCUCGUCCCUCUUGCCCUCUGGGGCUUCCUCAUGUGGAGAAACAGCAAAGUCAUGAACAUCGUCUCCUAUUCAUUUCUGGAGAUCGUGUGCGUCUACGGCUACUCACUUUUCAUUUACAUCCCCACAGCAAUACUGUGGAUCAUCCCCCAGAAAGCUGUUCGUUGGAUUCUGGUCAUGGUCGCCCUGGGCAUCUCAGGAUCUGUUUUGGCAAUGACAUUUUGGCCAGCCGUUCGUGAGGAUCACCGGCGCAUUGCAUGGGCCACAAUUGUGACCAUUGUGUUGCUGCAUGUGCUUCUUUCUGUGGGCUGCUUGGCAUACUUUUUUGAUGCACCAGAGAUGGACCAUCUCCCAACAACCACAGUUACUCCAAACCAAACAGUUGCAGCAAUCAAGUUCAGCUAAUGAGACAAGUCUCACUUUCCAUGAUGCUAGCAGUUAUAGAAUUGGAAUAUCAAUUCUCUUUUAUGUUUUGGGAGUGUGGUUCUUCUGGAUAUGGCAUCCACUGACCUAUAGCAGAAUGGCCAACGCCAGCAAGAAACUGACAGAUGUACCAUGCUGAAGCCACAUUGCCUGUUUAACAACCAAAAUGUAAGGGUUGGUGUGGGGGUGUAGCAGAGUGGUAGAGCACUUGCCUGGCAUGUGUGAGGCCUGGAUUCAAACCCCAGCUCCACACACAC